rnacentral:tRNA from 1 species
GGGGUUGUGGCUCAGUGGUAGAGUGCUUGCCUAGCAUGCAUGAGGCACCAGGUUUGAUCCUCAGCACCA